CUAGAGUGCAGUAGGGGAGACUGGAAUUCCUGGUGUAGCGGUGAAAUGCGCAGAUAUCAGGAGGAACACCGAUGGCGAAGGCAGGUCUCUGGGCUGUAACUGACGCUGAGGAGCGAAAGCAUGGGGAGCGAACAGGAUUAGAUACCCUGGUAGUCCAUGCCGUAAACGUUGGGCACUAGGUGUGGGGGACAUUCCACGUUUUCCGCGCCGUAGCUAACGCAUUAAGUGCCCCGCCUGGGGAGUACGGCCGCAAGGCUAAAACUCAAAGGAAUUGACGGGGGCCCGCACAAGCGGCGGAGCAUGCGGAUUAAUUCGAUGCAACGCGAAGAACCUUACCAAGGCUUGACAUGAACCGGAAAGACCUGGAAACAGGUGCCCCGCUUGCGGUCGGUUUACAGGUGGUGCAUGGUUGUCGUCAGCUCGUGUCGUGAGAUGUUGGGUUAAGUCCCGCAACGAGCGCAACCCUCGUUCUAUGUUGCCAGCGCGUUAUGGCGGGGACUCAUAGGAGACUGCCGGGGUCAACUCGGAGGAAGGUGGGGACGACGUCAAAUCAUCAUGCCCCUUAUGUCUUGGGCUUCACGCAUGCUACAAUGGCCGGUACAAAGGGUUGCGAUACUGUGAGGUGGAGCUAAUCCCAAAAAGCCGGUCUCAGUUCGGAUUGGGGUCUGCAACUCGACCCCAUGAAGUCGGAGUCGCUAGUAAUCGCAGAUCAGCAACGCUGCGGUGAAUACGUUCCCGGGCCUUGUACACACCGCCCGUCAAGUCACGAAAGUUGGUAACACCCGAAGCCGGUGGCCUAAC
rnacentral:rRNA from 1 species